rnacentral:rRNA from 1 species
GAUGAACGCUAGCGGCAGGCCUAAUACAUGCAAGCCGGACGGCAAGUUGAGUAGCAAUACUUGACCUAGAGUGGCGUAAGGGUGCGUAACACGUAUGCAAUCUGCCCACAGCCGGGAGAUAGCCCUCCGAAAGGAGGAUUAAUAUCCCAUAGGAAGAUGAGAUGGCAUCAUUUUAUUUUUAAACUACGGGCUGUGGAUGAGCAUGCGGUUGAUUAGCUAGUUGGCGGGGUAAAGGCCACCAAGGCGAUGAUCAAUAGGGGACCUGAGAGGGUGAUCCCCCACACUGGCACUGAGAUACGGGCCAGACUCCUACGGGAGGCAGCAGUAGGGAAUAUUGG